AAGUGCAACUGUGACCCAUUAUUAGGUAGAGGAGGGGCUGACUCAAGCUCUGUUGAGUUCUGGAGAGCAUCGGAAGGGCAGAGACUGCAUCUUCUGAAUCAGGAAGACCAUGAUAGGUAUUUUCUCUUAUCUGUUAGGAUACCUGCAAGGACAUCAUCUCCUGUGAUGCAGCUGGACUCUGGCUUAUAUCACACUGUAUCUUCAAGCUGGGCCCCUGGCCAAUUACUACAAACCUGAAAACAGAUGUUAUUCCACUGAUAUCCUCAUGCUAUUAGUGG